AUAUCAACAUCAGUUUCUCCCCAUAAUAAACUUGUUGAUCUGAACCCUCCAAUUAUCUCUCAGUUUUCUGAUCAAAACCCUAAUAGGCAAGAUCUAAACCUAGCUUUUCCUGCAGCUCCACAAGAGUACUAUCACGGUACUAUUCCUCAUUUUCUUGAAUAUACUAAGAUUGAGAACAGCAGUAACAUCAACUCUUCAUCUUCGAAUCCGGAUUCGGCCCUAGACUUGCUGAGGACUGGAAUAGCCUCAAAGGGAAUGAGUUCCAUUUUCCCCACAUCAAAUGUGGAAACUAAUGCACUUCUUGUAUCAGGUUUUCCAGUUCAAGAAUGCAAACCUGCAGCCAUUGGUUUUUCCUUUGAUGGAAGGCUUAUGUUUCAACGUCAUUCGGUAAACCUAGCUUUUCCUGCAGCUCCACAAGAGUACUAUCACGGUACUAUUCCUCAUUUUCUUGAAUACACUAAGAUUGAGAACAGCAGUAACAUCAACUCUUCAUCUUCGAAUCCGGAUUCGGCCCUAGACUUGCUGAGGACUGGAAUAGCCUCAAAGGGAAUGAGUUCCAUUUUCCCCACAUCAAAUGUGGAAACUAAUGCACUUCUUGUAUCAGGUUUUCCAGUUCAAGAAUGCAAACCUGCAGCCAUUGGUUUUUCCUUUGAUGGAAGGCUUAUGUUUCAACGUCAUUCGGGCACAGAUGAAGUCAAUAAUCAGAUCAACAAGGGACAU
rnacentral:lncRNA from 1 species